rnacentral:miRNA from 14 species
UAUACAUAUAUAUACGUAUAUAUAUGUAUGUGUGUGUGUGUGUGUAUAUAUAUAUAUACACACACACAUAUAUACGUAUAUAUAUGUAUAUGUG